UGGGGAAUAUUGCACAAUGGGCGCAAGCCUGAUGCAACCAUGCCGCGUGUGUGAAGAAGGCCUUCGGGUUGUAAAGCACUUUCAGCGGGGAGGAAGGCGGUGAGGUUAAUAACCUCACCGAUUGACGUUACCCGCAGAAGAAGCACCGGCUAACUCCGUGCCAGCAGCCGCGGUAAUACGGGGGGUGCACGCGUUAAUCGGAAUUACUGGGGGUAAAGCGCAAGCAGGCGGUCUGUCAAGUCGGAUGUGAAAUCCCCGGGCUCAACCUGGGACCUGCAUUCGAAACUGGCAGGCUAGAGUCUGGUAGAGGGGGGUGGAAUUCCAGGUGUAGCGGUGAAAUGCGUAGAGAUCUGGAGGAAUACCGGUGGCGAAGGCGGCCCCCUGGACAAAGACUGACGCUCAGGUGCGAAAGCGUGGGGGGCAAACAGG
rnacentral:rRNA from 1 species